rnacentral:lncRNA from 10 species
AUGAAUAUGGCAAAUCCAUCUACUUCUUUUCUCUGCUACUAUCAUUCUAGUGUAAACCACCAUUAUCACUCUGAGUGCUCCAGUGACUUCAUAAGCCAGAGCAGAUUUUUAGAAAAGUAACUUGGUUUGUGUCGCGUUCCUGUUCAAAAAGUCCUUUAUCAGGUUUCCAGUGCCCCAGGUACUACGUGAUCUGGCCUCUGCCCACCUCCCCCAUCUCAUACCAGUGCGCCACCUGAUUAAUGUGGUCGGCACAGGAACAUCUCAAA